rnacentral:rRNA from 1 species
AACGAACGCUGGCGGCAUGCCUAACACAUGCAAGUCGAACGAGACCUUCGGGUCUAGUGGCGCACGGGUGCGUAACGCGUGGGAACCUGCCCUUAGGUUCGGAAUAACUCCCCGAAAGGGGUGCUAAUACCGGAUAAUGUCUUCGGCCCAAAGAUUUAUCGCCUUUGGAUGGGCCCGCGUUGGAUUAGCUAGUUGGUAGGGUAAAAGCCUACCAAGGCGACGAUCCUUAGCUGGUCUGAGAGGAUGAUCAGCCACACUGGGACUGAGACACGGCCCAGACUCCUACGGGAGGCAGCAGUGGGGAAUAUUGGACAAUGGGCGAAAGCCUGAUCCAGCAAUGCCGCGUGAGUGAUGAAGGCCUUAGGGUUGUAAAGCUCUUUUACCCGGGAUGAUAAUGACAGUACCGGGAGAAUAAGCGCCGGCUAACUCCGUG